AUUGAACGCUGGCGGCAGGCCUAACACAUGCAAGUCGAACGAGCGGCGGACGGGUGAGUAAUGUAUGGGGAUCUGCCUGAGCGAGGGGGAUAACUACUGGAAACGGUGGCUAAUACCGCAUACUAUCGGCUGAGCCGAGUUGGGAUUAGCUAGUGGGUGGGGUAAAGGCUCACCAAGGCGACGAUCUCUACCGGGUCUGAGAGGAUGAUCAGUCACACUGGAACUGAGACACGGCCCAGACUCCUACGGGAGGCAGCAGUGGGGAAUAUUGGACAAUGGGCGAAAGCCUGAUACAGCCAUGCCGCGUGUGUGAAGAAGGCCUUAGGGUUGUAAAGCACUUUAAGUGGGGAGGCGUUACCCACAGAAGAAGCACCGGCUAACUCCGUGCCAGCAGCCGCGGUAAUAC
rnacentral:rRNA from 1 species